rnacentral:rRNA from 1 species
AUUGAACGCUGGCGGCAUGCUUUACACAUGCAAGUCGAACGGCAGCGCGGGCUUCGGCCUGGCGGCGAGUGGCGAACGGGUGAGUAAUGCAUCGGAACGUGCCCAGUAGUGGGGGAUAGCCCGGCGAAAGCCGGAUUAAUACCGCAUACGACCUGAGGGUGAAAGCGGGGGACCGAAAGGCCUCGCGCUAUUGGAGCGGCCGAUGUCGGAUUAGCUAGUUGGUGGGGUAAAGGCUUACCAAGGCGACGAUCCGUAGCUGGUCUGAGAGGACGACCAGCCACACUGGGACUGAGACACGGCCCAGACUCCUACGGGAGGCAGCAGUGGGGAAUUAUGGACAAUGGGGGCAACCCUGAUCCAGCCAUGCCGCGUGCGGGAAGAAGGCCUUCGGGUUGUAAACCGCUUUUGUUCGGGAAGAAAUCCUCUGGGCUAAUACCCCGGGGGGAUGACGGUACCGGAAGAAUAAGCACCGGCUAACUACGUG